ACAGCCAACAGGGGGAGCAGUGCGAGCGUGAAGGCAGACAGUGGCCUGGCCCAGUCUGAUGGGAGAGACCCACCGACCCUGUGGGGCUGGUCCCUACAUCUGGCGCUCUGACGUGGGGCUCUCCCUCGCUGUGUGAAGUUGCACCCUGAGUGCGGGAUCAGCGGAGGAGUUCAACGAGAGAUUCCUGAGGAUUGCAGUCUAUAAACUUGGUGCAGGCGGCUGACCCCGCAGCUCAACAAGAUCAAGAGGCUGAUAAUCAAGCCCCUCAGCCCGAAACU
rnacentral:lncRNA from 1 species